GUUAGGAAUUUUGCGCAAUGGGGGAAACCCUGACGCAGCAACGCCGCGUGGGUGAUGAAGGCCUUCGGGUCGUAAAGCCCUUUUGUGGGGGAAGAUAAUGACGGUACCCCACGAAUAAGCCUCGGCUAACUACGUGCCAGCAGCCGCGGUAAAACGUAGGAGGCGAGCGUUGUCCGGAUUUACUGGGCGUAAAGAGCGCGUAGGCGGUCUAAAAAGUCAGGUGUGAAAUCUCCCGGCUCAACUGGGAGGGGUCACUUGAUACUGUUGGACUAGAGUGCAGUAGAGGGAGACAGAAUUCCCGGUGUAGUGGUGAAAUGCGUAGAUAUCGGGAGGAAUACCAGUGGCGAAGGCGGUCUCCUGGGCUGUUACUGACGCUGAGGUGCGAAAGCGUGGGGAGCGAACCGGAUUAGAAACCCUUGUAGUCC
rnacentral:rRNA from 1 species